rnacentral:rRNA from 1 species
UGAGGAAUAUUCCACAAUGGGCGAAAGCCUGAUGGAGCGACGCCGCGUGCGGGAUGAAGCCCUUUGGGGUGUAAACCGCUUUUAGGAGGGAUGAUACACGGUGAAAGCCGUUAAGACAGUACCUCCUGAAUAAGCAUCGGCUAACUACGUGCCAGCAGCCGCGGUAAUACGUAGGAUGCAAGCGUUGUCCGGAUUUACUGGGCGUAAAGCGCGCGCAGGCGGCACUCUAAGUACGCUGUGAAAUAUCCCGGCUCAACCGGGAGGGUGCAGUGUAGACUAGAGAGCUUGAGGUCGGUAGAGGGGGGUAGAAUUGCUGGUGUAGCGGUGAAAUGCGUAGAGAUCAGCAGGAAUACCCGUGGCGAAGGCGGCCCCCUGGGCCGUACCUGACGCUGAGGCGCGAAGGCUAGGGGAGCGAACGGGAUUAGAUACCCCCGUAGUCC